rnacentral:rRNA from 1 species
GACGAACGCUGGCGGCGUGCCUAAUACAUGCAAGUCGAACGAACUCUGGUUUUUGAUUGACGGUGCUUGCACCUGAUUGAUUAAACAUUUGAGUGAGUGGCGAGCUGGUGAGUAACACGCAGGAAACCUGCCCAGAAGCGGGGGAUAACACCUGGAAACAGAUGCUAAUACCGCAUAACAACUUGAACCGCAUGGUUCGAGUUUGAAAGAUGGCUCUGCUAUCACUUCUGGAUGGUCCUGCGGCGUAUUAGCUAGAUGGUGAGGUAACGGCUCACCAUGGCAAUGAUACGUAGCCGACCUGAGAGGGUAAUCGGCCACAUUGGGACUGAGACACGGCCCAAACUCCUACGGGAGGCAGCAGUAGGGAAUCUUCCACAAUGGACGAAAGUCUGAUGGAGCAACGCUGCGUGAGUGAAGAAGGGUUUCGGCUCGUAAAACUCUGUUGUUAGAGAAGAACAUAUCUGAGAGUAACUGUUCAGGUAUUGACGGUAUCUAACCAGAAAGCCACGGCUAACUACGUGCCAGCCGCCGCAGUAA